CGCUGAACUUAAGCAUAUCAAUAAGCGGAGGAAAAGAAACCAACAGGGAUUGCCUCAGUAACGGCGAGUGAAGCGGCAACAGCUCAAAUUUGAAAUCUGGCCCUAGGCCCGAGUUGUAAUUUGCAGAGGAUGCUUUGGGUGCGGUGCCUUCCAAGUUCCCUAGAACGGGACGCCAGAGAGGGUGAGAGCCCCGUACAGUUGGACACCAAGCCUUUGUAAAGCUCCUUCGACGAGUCGAGUAGUUUGGGAAUGCUGCUCAAAAUGGGAGGUAUAUUUCUUCUAAAGCUAAAUACCGGCCAGAGACCGAUAGCGCACAAGUAGAGUGAUCGAAAGAUGAAAAGCACUUUGAAAAGAGGGUUAAACAGCACGUGAAAUUGUUAAAAGGGAAGCGCUUGUGACCAGACUUGCGUCCGGUGAAUCACCCAGCUCUCGCGGCUGGGGCACUUCGCCGGCUCAGGCCAGCAUCAGCUCGCUGUCGGGGACAAAAGCUUCAGGAACGUAGCUCUCUUCGGGGAGUGUUAUAGCCUGUUGCAUAAUACCCUUCGGCGGGCUGAGGUACGCGCUCCGCAAGGAUGCUGGCAUAAUGGUCAUCAGCGACCCGUCUUGAAACACGGACCAAGGAGUCAACCUUAUGUGCGAGUGUUCGGGUGUCAAACCCCUACGCGUAAUGAAAGUGAACGCAGGUGAGAGCUUCGGCGCAUCAUCGACCGAUCCUGAUGUUCUCGGAUGGAUUUGAGUAAGAGCAUAUAGGGUUGGACCCGAAAGAAGGUGAACUAUGCGUGUAUAGGGUGAAGCCAGAGGAAACUCUGGUGGAGGCUCGCAGCGGUUCUGACGUGCAAAUCGAUCGUCAAAUAUGCGCAUGGGGGCGAAAGACUAAUCGAACCUUCUAGUAGCUGGUUUCCGCCGAAGUUUCCCUCAGGAUAGCAGUGUUGAACUCAGUUUUAUGAGGUAAAGCGAAUGAUUAGGGACUCGGGGGCGCUAUAUUGCCUUCAUCCAUUCUCAAACUUUAAAUAUGUAAGAAGCCCUUGUUACUUAAUUGAACGUGGGCAUUCGAAUGUAUCAACACUAGUGGGCCAUUUUUGGUAAGCAGAACUGGCGAUGCGGGAUGAACCGAACGCGAGGUUAAGGUGCCAGAGUAGACGCUCAUCAGACACCA
rnacentral:rRNA from 1 species